AACAAUUUUCGCAAAUAUGCAACCUGAAGGCGUUUCUUAUAUAUUUUCCCAAAUUCAGGUGAUUUGGAGUUAUUGCCAGUGACAAAUGAAUUGUUGAAAAUGACCAAAAACACCAAAAAUCUGACAUUUAAUUCAAAAUGGCUGACUUUCUGUUGUGUUUAGAGAAUGACUCCAAGAGACUUUUUUGCUUGCACUGAUGUGCUACAUAUGCAUGCCAAAUUUCAUAGUCACAGGUGAAAGUCUGUGUGGAGGCUAUUUUUUAAAUUCUUUUAGGGGGCGCUAUGGUAGAUGCUGUGAAUGUAUUUUGGCCAAUAAAUGUGAUCAGGACAGGACUGUGUUUAAUCAUGUGAGGUCUGAGGUAGAUUGGAGCAUGCAGAGGAUAGUUAGGUAGCACUUGAUGUUUCAUGGCGAACCAUCAAAAUUCUGGAGGUCGUCAUGUCCACACCCUUUGACUCUGGAAGAAUCUUUUAAUAACUUUUGAUCAUAACAUCGUGUUGUACACCCUGGUAAAAUUUGAGGUCUCUAGGAGUUAACCCCGAGGAGGAGUUCGCUCUCAAAAAUUAAAAAAAUAGAGAAAAUUUAUCCACAUAAUUCAAAAUGGCGGACUUCCUGUUGAGUUUAGGGGAUGGCUCCAAGAGGCUUUUUUGUGCAUCGUGAUGUGCUCUAUAUGCCUCCCAAAUUUUGUGGAUGUCGGUGAAACAUGCUGCGGGGGCUGUUUAUUAAACAUACUGCAGGGGGCGCUAUAGCACAUGCCCUGCAGAGAUGCAUACAGUGUUAUUCCUUGAGACGACUGUGAUGUGUGUGUAAAUUUUGGUGAGCUGUUGAACAUUCUAAGCCUGUCAAAAACUACUUUGUUUGUCACAAAAACAACGCGUUGCCACGGCAACAGCAUUUCAUCAAAUAUCAAAAUCUUCACACUGUGGUAUUGUCUGGGGGUGAAGAAUUAGCUGACCAAUUUUCAGAAUGAUAUGACAAAGUUUGGAGCAAUGAUGUGUGCAAAUGUAAUUUCUAAACUACUUGUUACCAAGAGGUGGCGCUAUGACUUUUUCUAAAUUUUUCAGUGUGGAUGUCCUCAAACUGGUUCUGGUGUCCAGCACAUGAAGUUUGGGGCAGAUAGGAUCCUUUGCAGCUGAGAUAUGAACACUUCAAUUUUCAUGGCGAAACAUCAAACUUUGCCGUCCCGCCACAGACACGCCUUUUCAUCACACGUCACCAUUUUUUCUGUGCUUCAUCAUCAAUGUGUUCAGGCUUAUGUCACAACAUCUGAGGUGAAUCUGAGCAACAGGCUAAGAACAGUACAUGAAAGUCUAAAAAAUGUCAAAUUCUUGAUACCACAAGGUGGCGCUGUGACUGUGAAUGAAUCUUGCUGUAUGGAUGUCAUCGAGGCAGGUCUGUGAUCAUACAUGUAAAGUUUCAUUCAGAUCGGAGCAUGUUCAGGAGAGUUAGACAGCAUUUCCUGUUUCAUGGCGAAGGAUCAAAUUUCGACAGGCCGCCACGACCACACCCUUUAACUAUGGAGGAAGAUUUUGAUAACUUUUUCUCAGGAAGGUCUGCUGUAUGUACUGGCAAAAUUUCAGAUCGCUCAGACUUUUCCCCUAGGAGGAGUUCAUCAUAGAUUUUGUACAGUUAACGCAUGAUGGCGCACUUCCUGUUGGGUGUAGAGCAUGGCUGUGAUUGACUUUUUUGUGUUUCCUGAUGUGCUGCAUAUGCCUCCCAAAUUUUUUAGCUCUCGGCCAAAUUCCCUCCGAGUUGGCCUAAUACCACUUUUUAAAAUUUUGUAGGGGGCGCU